rnacentral:rRNA from 1 species
GACGAACGCUGGCGGCGUGCUUAACACAUGCAAGUCGAACGAAGAGCGAUGGAAGCUUGCUUCUAUCAAUCUUAGUGGCGAACGGGUGAGUAACGCGUAAUCAACCUGCCCUUCAGAGGGGGACAACAGUUGGAAACGACUGCUAAUACCGCAUACGAUCUAAUCUCGGCAUCGAGGAUAGAUAAAAGGUGGCCUCUACAUGUAAGCUAUCACUGAAGGAGGGGAUUGCGUCUGAUUAGCUAGUUGGAGGGGUAACGGCCCACCAAGGCGAUGAUCAGUAGCCGGUCUGAGAGGAUGAACGGCCACAUUGGGACUGAGACACGGCCCAGACUCCUACGGGAGGCAGCAGUGGGGAAUCUUCCGCAAUGGACGAAAGUCUGACGGAGCAACGCCGCGUGAGUGAUGACGGCCUUCGGGUUGUAAAGCUCUGUUAAUCGGGACGAAAGGCCUUCUUGCGAAUAGUGAGAAGGAUUGACGGUACCGGAAUAGAAAGCCACGGCUAACUACGUG